UACGUAGGGGGCGAGCGUUGUCCGGAUUUAUUGGGCGUAAAGAGCGUGUAGGCGGCCAGGUAGGUCUGCUGUGAAAACUCGAGGCUCAACCUCGAGACGUCGGCGGAAACCAUCUGGCUAGAGUCCGGAAGAGGAGAGUGGAAUUCCUGGUGUAGCGGUGAAAUGCGCAGAUAUCAGGAGGAACACCUAUAGCGAAGGCAGCUUGCUGGGACGACACUGACGCUGAGGCGCGAAAGCGUGGGGAGCGAACAGG
rnacentral:rRNA from 1 species